CAAAUUUGGAAAACUCAGCAGUGGCCACAGGACUGGAAAAGAUAAUGGCCUGCCUCAGAGGACCCUGACCCUCUAUCUGACUGUUAAACUGAAGUACCUUUCUUCAGAACCUUGUCUACCUGUGGAUGGCAAGAAGGAAGAAAUUAACACAUUCCCUGCCUGAGGCCUGUCAUUCUAGGAGGUCUUUGUUGUCCAACGUGGUAGCCCUAGCCAUAAGCAUCCAUUUCGAGAAAUCAGAAAAAGAGAACAAAUUAAACUCAAAGAAAGCAGAGGAAAGUAAAUAAUAAAGAGCUCCAACUGAGGACCUGAGAAGGGUAGAAGUAAAGUUCUGCCUGCCCUGCAAUGGAAACAACCCAAAUGUCUAUAAACAGAAAAUGGAGAAACCAAAUGUGGUGUAUACACACAACUGAAUAUUAUUUGUCAAUAAAAAGGAUG